AGGGCCUUGCGCUUCCUAGGUAAGCGCUCUACCACUGAGCUAAAUCCCCAGCCCCUGAUUUACAGUUUUUUAAGAGCUGUUGAUUGAGACUUAACUAGUUAAGAGAGAAAAGUUGACAGUUAAUAAACUUACUUAGGAGUAAUAUAACCCAUUUUCCUGGAUAUUCUUUUUAUGCAGAGUAUUUAGAUAUUGUCAGGAACAUAUCAAUUUAUUCAUUUAUUUAGCAUUUGUGGUAUAGGAAAAAAUAUAAGGUAUCUGUAACUUACACAGUAUUAUUCAAGUGACUAUUUGAACUCAAGUCAAACUAAAACACACUGGAAAGCAUUUCACUAUGUUGCAGUUUUUGUUUGUAUACAGAAAGUAUUAAAGACAGUUGGAUAAUUAGUAUUUGAGAGAAAAAGAACAAUGUAGGGAGAGGUAUGGCAGUAAUGAUGAGACUUUCCUUUUUUAAAUUUUGAGACAGUGUCUUAUGUAGCUCAGGCUAGCCUUGUACUCUGUGUUGUUGUUAUACACUCUUACUCCUACCUUAUGUCCCCAGUGCUAGGAUUGGAAGUGUGGGUCACCAUCGUAGCUUGAUCAUAGACUUGUUGCCUUUGGCUUGUUGAGUGUGUAAUGUGUAGGCCUUAAGGCAGCUAUAGGUAGCCAUCCUAAGAAGUUUGAACUUUGUUUUUCGGUAGUGUUCAGAAAUUAGUGAAGAGAUUUAAGUAGGGCACUCAUAUGACAUUUUGCGUUUUGGAUACAAUUCUGAUGGCAACAUGAAUAGGAAAAUCAGAAGAAAUACCAUAGUAGUGGAGGCAGAGUAUGAUGGAGGGACGUGGGAGGAGCAGAUAUAACCAGAGCACUGCACCCAGGGAGAGGAGCUGGCAAGAAGUAAAUUAGUUAUAAAAGACAGAAAAUACCCGAGGAGGAGUGGGAGAGGAACGUGAUCGUGAAUUCAUGGAUGAGAGUGCCAAAGAACUCACAAAAUAAGCAUCUCGAUGAAAGAGAGAUUGUGCAUGAAGCAGCUGAUAUCUGGUUUGUUCAUCUGUGGUAAGGAUAGUGUCACUGACAGACUGAAGGCACAGGGAUGAUUUAGAAAGAGUUUUGAAAGGAAAAUGAGUUUGCUUUUGGACAGCCGAUUUUUACAGUAUCUGUUAAGUACAUGUAAGUCUAAAGCACAGAGUAAGAGACACAGAUUUAAAGUAGAUUUCCGGAUGUCAGGAGAUGCAGGUAAAGCAUGAAAAUGGAAUUUUAUCACAGAAGAAAGGACAGUAAUUGCCCUGAUUUAUAGAGGAUGUAUUCCCUGGUUAGCUUUGAACCUCUGCAUGGUACUGAACCUGGAAGGUGCUGUGCGUGCGUGUGCGCGUGCGUGUGCGUGUGUGUGAUAUAAACCUAUGGAAGUGUCCGAGUUAGGCACAGUGGUUCAGUGGCAGCAAUGGCUAAUAGUAAAGUGGGUUGCUAGAGAAGCACAGUAAUGGAAGCUAUGUAACAUUAGUAUCCUGGGUUUGUUGUUGUUUUUCAUUCAGUGUUUUGACUGUAGUUGACUGUAGAUAACUUCAGGACAUUGGUGGUUUGGUGAUAGUUUUUGUGACUUAUGAGAGAAAAAACUAGCCCAAAAAAGUUAAAGGAAGGAGGGAUGGGAUGGUGGCUCAGCAGUUAUGAACGCUUUCUGUUUUUCUAGAAGACCUGGGUCCAGUUUGUCGUACCCACAAGGCAGCUCAUAACCAUCUCUAACUUCAGUUUCAGGAUACCUGGGGCCCUCUUCUGACCUUUGCAACACUAUACUUAAACAUGUGAUAUACACAUGCAGGUAAAACACUCAUACACAAAAAUAAAAAAUCUUUAAGGCCUAUUGCCUUCUCUAAAGCGUGGCCUCCAUAAAGUACGCAGCUCUCAGACACGGAACCUGAGUUUGAACAUGAGGGGCUGAUACUUGCAGAUGGAGCUGGACAGGGAGAUACAGCAGGAUCCCGGAACUCACUUGUCAGCGUCUAGUCUGAUUGCUGAGCUCUGUGGGCAAAGGAUGUGGAAAGUACCUGGCUGAGGUAGAGUUGGAAGUGGAUUGGAGGGGAACAGCUCUGCUAAAAAGAACAAAGCAAAGGCUUGAUUAGGGAGAGCCUUUGUCUUACAACUCUGCAGGGGUGGACCACUGUGCGCUUUGACGCUUUGAUUGCUUCUUUCAUUAUAGGAUUUAUGACCAGAGGAAAAUUGAUGAGAAUGAGAACAAUGGUGUCCUGAAAAAAUUCUGUCCUCACCACUUGGUAAGAUUCAUGAAGGGCAGUGGCUCCUGCCUUCCUUGACUUUAUCCGGAGCUGCUUUCAAACAUACUGGCCAUAAUGUGAAGAGAUUUUAAUCCUAGCUUUCUCACUUAAAAGGUUUUAUGAUCUUGGAGCCAGUUGACCUUUAUUAGUCUAAUGUUCUCAGCAACAAAAAGGAGGUUUGUCCCAUCAUGGUGUGGCCUAAUGAGAUAAUGCAACUGAAAUGGCUAGCACACCAGAGAGAGCCAAGACAGGGCACACUAAGACUCUGCUAUGAGGUGGAUACGUUUCCUCGGUUACAGACCCCUCACUCAUUCACCCUGCCCCUACCUCUUUGUUUCUAUUUAUCUCUAUCUGUCUUUGGGAAACGAUAUAGGGGAAUUUCUAGAAAAACCUAUUCCUGAAGGUGGUCUAACAAAUGGGGUGGGGGUAUCAGUCGGUAUCUGCUCCUCAUUGCAGGUGAACAGUGAGUCCAAAGCAAACAUCACCUGUCUUGUGUACAGCCACGACGGCACAGGUAUGUGUGCAGGGCCUGGCUCCUAGGCUGGAUGCCUCCAGGUUCUAGGGAGCUGCUGAACCAGUGAGGCGCGUGCUCCCCAGGCUCACCACUGUAUAGCUCCAGGUGGAGCCGCUGGAAACAGUCGCCGAUGGGAGACCACAGCAGAUGACCUGGGAAAUGCUGGCAGUGGUGGCCCACGGGCUUGUCCUUACACUUUCAAUCAUUGGCAGAGUUAAAGGGGGUGAGCUCCUUGGUGUUCUGCUGCCCCUGGGCUGCUGAUGUGCUCCUCGUAAACCCUACAUAAGCUUCCAUGCCUGCUGUACCUAACUAAGAUGGAUGGAUGCUAUAUCUGGGCACUUAAGAGGACGGACACACUGCCUACAGGAAACCCCGUCCUAGACAGUCUCCCUUUGCCCCAGACUUCUUUGUCCUGCACUUGUCAGCCUUUGCCUUCAUUGCUGUGUUUUUGUUCUUGGCAGAGCUCCUGGCCAGUUACAAUGAUGAAGACAUUUACCUUUUCAACUCUUCUCACAGUGAUGGGGCCCAGUAUAUUAAGAGAUAUAAAGGUCAUAGAAAUAAUGCUACAGGUCAGUCGCCUUCCUAUGUUUCUGUGACCCAGGUCACAGUGACAGCCCACAUUAUCUAACUUCAUUGUAUAAAUGGGUGCUACCUGAGUAGACUGCCUGUGUCAACUUGGGCAGUGAGAGGGUUGUCCCUAGUUGGGCUGGUAUUUUCUUUUUUUCACUGUGAUUCAGGGAGCGCUCAGUAGCAUCUGCACUGCCGUGAUGUUGCCACCAGUUGGUUUAAGCAUGAAGCUAGACUUGUUUGUUUUCUGCAAUUUCACAUACUGUAGCGUAGGCACAGGGUCCUUUAAGAAAGCCACGGAAAGUUGUGGUGCUGAUGUAGUCCUGUAGGUGCGGGUGAGUUGUCUAGGGGGAGAAGGGAAGGAUCCUUGUGCAUGAAGCAGAGGAGGAGGAACAGUGGUAGUAUCUGGCCUAUUUCCAAUGAAGUUUGGCUUUUGAGUUCUGUGUCUGGUUCUCCAAUGUUGGGGUUCACUAGACUAACCUCCGCCUUUUAAUAAAAGCACUGAUGCCUGCCUCCUCCCACACACAUUGUAUUUAAUCGAUGCUGGAUGCAGCUGGAACAUUGGGAUGUUUGAAAAGUAUCCUAACUGGUUCUAGUGUAGAGAAGGCAAGGAAUUCCUGCACUUUGUUGGUACCACUCCUCUGAGCUGCGUGUCACCAUUUGAUCCUGAAACACUAUUAAAACCUUUACUACUUCUCUUGAACAGGUAAGAAGGAAAGAGGGGCAGGGUUCUGUAUUUGGAUUUCAUUACGUGGUCAAGCAAAAGGAAAAGUGUCAGUCUUGUGGCUGGUAUGUGGCACUGGCUUUAAUAGGUGGACCCCUGUCGUUGACAAAGUCGAAGGACUUGGGUGUUUUUACUUAGUUUGUAGCGAUUUCUUGUUCAUGUGCGUCUGGUGCAUGUGACUGUGCCACAUACCUUUGUCAGUCUCAGAUCAACUUAUGACUGAGUAACAAUAAAAUCCAGCAGUUAAGAGCACUGGCUUUCCUUCCGAAGGACUUGGGUUCUAUUCCCAGCACCCACAUGGCAGCUCAUACCUGUCGGUAAUUCCAGUUCCAGGGAAUCUUGACACCCUCACACAGACAUACAUGCAGGCAGAACACCAAUGUAUAGAAGAUAAAAGUCAUUUUUCAAAGUUAAAAAAAAAUAAAUAAAUAAAAAUACAUACCAAGAAUAAUCUUAGGGCCCAGGGUGGGCAGAACUGAAAUUACAGAUAGGCUAUUAUUUGGAGGUCUAUUCCUGAAAAAGUGUAAUUGAAGCAGACUGUUGCCCAGGGAAGCAGACUGCUGCACUUGGCAAUCCAACAGAGCACUUUAAGAGAGUGCAAAUACUGCCUGGAACUGGUGUGAUUCUAAUAAUUGUCUAUCACACACACUCUCUUGUUUUGUAGCAGUGAAAAGAAUUAUUUGGCAUUCAGCUGACUCAGAGUUACUAAAUUACUAAAUUCUCAGUGAGGUAAAUAAAUACAGGCCCAGUGCCAAAUCUUAUGUGGUUUCUUCCCUCAUUUAUCAUUUCAGUAAAAGGCGUCAAUUUCUAUGGCCCCAAGAGUGAGUUUGUGGUGAGCGGUAGUGACUGUGGUCACAUCUUCCUCUGGGAGAAGUCAUCUUGCCAGAUCAUUCAGUUCAUGGAAGGGGACAAGGGAGGUGUGGUGAGUAUGCUGUGUUAGACUGGCUGUCCCCUAGUUUCUCAGGUCAGUAAGAUAGGUCUUACGUGGGCCACCAAAUUUUCACUGUCACUAUAUGGUACCAUAUUUUAGAGUUCCACAUAGCGAAAGGAAAGGAGUUAUGCCUUGAGAGUGCUGAGAUUUUGAAUGGAAUACUUUAUUCCUUCCUUCGUCCCUUAUAAAGAAUAGUUUAUUGAAAAGAAGAAAGGGUUUUGGAAGAAUUUAUAGCCUGAGCAAAAUUCUUAAGCUUGGGCUUUUUCCAAAAAAGAAAACAUUAGUUUGGGACAAACCUUCUAUACAAUGUCAAAAGAAGAUGUCUUUGGGCCUGGUCCCUUUAAGUAAGGUAAGCAGUGAGCUUGGCUGAUUCCUGGAUCAACAGAUAAAAGCUAGAUGCACAUUUACUUGAGAGAAACAUUUUGAAUAUUUGGGGAGAUACGAGUAAGGUUUGUAAGUUAGAUAACAUGGUAUUCAAUACUAAACUUAUUUAAUGUACUGUUUAAGAGAAUAUUCUUGUACUUAACAGAUGCAUGCUGUAUUUAGGGAUUAAAGUGCCAUGCCUGUUGUUAAGUGGAUACAAGUACAGCUAAUGUACCGGUGUGUGUGUAGAAUGGAAAGCAGAUGUAAUAAUUCAUAUAUUUCUUGGAGAGAACUGCUGAGUAGCCUGCUAGGUAAUAUGGUUACAUUGUUGUCCGCCUGGCCUUUGAGUUUCUCAAGCACACUCUGUAUUAAUGGUCAAGAAAGAAUCACACAAAUCAAGGACUGAGGAAUGAUCUGCUCUCAGGAUAUAUCUCAAUGACCUUAUUUCUUCCCUUCCAGCAUUUGGAGAGAGUUAAACACCAUUUGUUUAAACAAGGGUUUUGAGCCACUGAAGAAAGGGUAGAGAGUUUGGAAGAUUCCUCUUUACUGAUUACCAGUGAAGACAAGGUUACCUGAGUCCUCUAAGAAACGCUGGGGCUGCUUGUCCCCAUCCUUCUCAGUCUUGCAGGCUGGAGCCUCAGCCCAGCUAUGACUCAGUGCUGCUGCUUACCAGAGAGUGGUUUAGAGUUGAAGGUGCUUCCUUGGCAGGCAGGGUCCCAUUUCUUCUUGUUUCCUUGGUCUGCUUCUGAGGAUAUUUGAUACUUAAUUCUGGUUUCCUCUAAAUUGUUUGGACCUAGGACAUAUAGAUUACAUCUUCUAUAGUCUGAAUGUAAGAGGCUCUCUCUCCGCUUCAGUUUCCAUUCCUUCAGAGGUCCCUCCUCUCACCUGUAGGUAACAAGUUCAAAACAUUGGAGUCUUAAUGAAAAGUCUGCAGUACGCACAUAGAACAAGAGUGGGAGACGAUGCCACACAGCAACUCUUUACUGUCCCAAGAGCCCUUCCAUGCUCUGGCCCAUUCCCUACACCCCUCGCCCAGUCUUGAGGCCAGGGUUCUUUUCUGUGCAAGCAUUAUUGACAGAGUAAGUGCUGGCAUUGAGACAGGUCUGGUGAAGUGACCAGGCCCUUUGGCCCCCCUGGCCCAGAGGUUCUCUGUCUGCUUCCCCUGCAGGCCCCAUUUCAGGUAUUGUAUGAAGUUUGUUCUUUCAUCCUCUUGCUUUUGGCUUUGUCCUCAGGCUUAGGUCCCAAGGAAUUGUUUGUUCCUUUACCCACUUGUUGAUAAAGCAGAGGUAGCUCAAGAGGGCAGGUCUUGGGCAAGAUUUCAUGAGUGAAUGGAUGGAUGAAUGAGGUCAGGUUUGUCUGUAUAAAUUGUCAGGUCAUCUGUUGAAAACGUUCCUACUGGAGUUUGUUCUCUAGUACUUCCUCAGGCUCCCAAGUACAUAGCCUCAAAGGAACUGCCGUGAGCCCCCGUGUGAAAUGGGAGAGGAAUACGGGGCUCUCAAACUCAGACUUAGAUUUGGCCUUCUUUAACCUAUUUCAUUUGUAAAUUCAAAGCUAAAGAAAAUGAAGUCACCUUUAUUUUACUCCAUGCCUGUCUUGUCUUUUCCUUAGCUGUGGUCUGAAUGUGCAGGCACAGCAGCUAAGGUUGGUCCAGAGAGAACUAGAACAGGCUUUUUGCCAGGGUUUAUUUUCUUGGACUGUAGAGCAGCUGCAAGGCGGGUGCUUUUUCUAUCAGUUCCUCAUCUGACUAAACGCCUAAAAAUGCUUUAGCAGCUACAUCUGGGACUGGCUCUUCCGGUGGGGAUGGGAACUGCCCUGCCCUGCCUUGCCCUGCCCUGUUUGGAAGCUCAUUUCUUCAAGUCAGACAGCAGAGGGCAUGGGUGUUUUCAGACAAAAGGAAAUUGUCUGAGACCCAAUGUCUGCCGUCCACUGUGUUUUCCACUGUUCAGUGGAUGAGGGUGGCUGAGAGUGAGUCAGUGCAGAGUCUGCUGUUACCUGUGCUUUCCUGCAGCAGCGUUUACUGUGCCCUUGGAGGAGCAGGGAGCAAGAUGUUGCCCUCUAUGAUAACAGAGUUCUUAGACAGACCCCCUUCUGAUCCCCAGCCCCAGUUCAUCUUCCUCCCAGCCCUGACAUCCUCAGUUACUAACCAGUGCUGUGUGCAUAUAAUUGUCC
ensembl:lncRNA